UGCCGUGACCCGGAUAACGUCGGGCAAAGACUUUUGAAAAAAUUUGCGCGUCUUCGACUCAUCUCUGGCGGACUUCUGGGCAUCUAGACAUCUCUUCACUACAAAGCAGCGGAACACCGGCAGGGUGUGAACGCGGCGACCUCGACCGGAUGGCUCCGAUGACUGGUUCGUCAGCGCUGGCCUCGCCACCCGAGCCAGCGGCGCUGUUGACAAAUGUCAGCGCCGGCCGGCCCCGUGACGUCCGGUGUCAUACUGACUGACACCCCAUCACUGCUGACGUCGGUGGGAGCCGCCGAACAACGAACUGACACCGGUCAUCUGACAUCAUCGGGGGGGGCCAUCCGUGUCAUCGCCGGUCACCAUUCUUCAUCGCACGCUUCACCGCUCGGCUGGCACGCGCGCACGCCCGACGUAAGCCGAAGCAAGUCGCCGUCGCGAGGCUGCCGCUGCCGCCGCACUGCUGUAGUCGUCACUCCGCUUCGCCCUGCACGACUUCGCUCGCUCUCUGCUUCGACUGGCCGGCGUUAGGCGCUCGCUGACGUAAGUCGAGACAAGUUCGCCGUCACGAUGCUGCCCGCCGUUGCCUCUCACAGCGCCACCUAGCGGUUGCGGACAAACGCCACCUAGCGUUGUGAACGAUGCGAGCGCCACCUAGCGCUGCGUGCUCUAAAGACAGACGCCAUCUAGCGAGUGAGUGCGGUGAAAGGAAACAAUAGAGUGACUGCGAGGAACAUGAUGAAUGAAAGUGAAUGCGCAAUUGGACCAAACGGGUGAGACAUUUGAUUUUAGAUCCGGACUAUAAAUAAAUAUCGCGGACGGUGCUAAGGUCGGACAUUUCGGAAAAAGAACUCUACUACAAGGACUACAACAAAAUGGGGACAUGGGGAAAAAGUGUAUUGUUUGUGUACUGUUAUAUAAUAGUGUUGCAUUUGACUGUAUUGUGUCGUAUAUUAUGCUAUGUCGUUUAUGUUGCAUUGUGUAUGUGUGUUUGUUGUGUGAUAACUAACGUGUGUUGUACGUUAUAUCAUGCAUCAUAUCGGAAGCAUUCCAAGACGAAAAUCUUCAUUUAAGAUUUUAGCUUUUAGGACCUUGCGUUGUGAUGUAACAAAGUUCAUUCCCAGCCCCCUGCCCUUACUAACAAUGUCCUUUUAUGGUCCUCGUUCCUUACCUGUGACGCCUGUCCUGACCCGCUUCUGAUUGGUGUUAUGAUAUGACGUACAUGUGUGACGUAUGUAUGACGCGUGGUAUAUGUCGCGCCGGAGCGGGCCGAAGCCCCGGCAGUAGCAGUCGCAGUCGCAGUCGGACCGAGUGAGAGCCGCUCCCUCGCCGGUCGUUAUUCUUCACUCGUUCUUUUCGGCUCGUCAUCUCGAUUGAACUCAUUAUCUCGGACAUUCAAAUAUAUCGUGGAAAAGUGAAACA